rnacentral:rRNA from 1 species
GAUGAACGCUGGCGGCGUGCCUAAUACAUGCAAGUCGAGCGAACAGAUAAGGAGCUUGCUCCUUUGACGUUAGCGGCGGACGGGCGAGUAACACGUGGGUAACCUACCUAUAAGACUGGAAUAACUCCGGGAAACCGGGGCUAAUGCCGGAUAACAUUUAGAACCGCAUGGUUCUAAAGUGAAAGAUGGUUUUGCUAUCACUUAUAGAUGGACCCGCGCCGUAUUAGCUAGUUGGUAAGGUAACGGCUUACCAAGGCAACGAUACGUAGCCGACCUGAGAGGGUGAUCGGCCACACUGGAACUGAGACACGGUCCAGACUCCUACGGGAGGCAGCAGUAGGGAAUCUUCCGCAAUGGGCGAAAGCCUGACGGAGCAACGCCGCGUGAGUGAUGAAGGUCUUCGGAUCGUAAAACUCUGUUAUUAGGGAAGAACAAAUGUGUAAGUAACUGUGCACGUCUUGACGGUACCUAAUCAGAAAGCCACGGCUAACUACGUG